GGAGACUGUGCGAAAGGCAGCAGAACUAGCCCUAAAAACUUUAAGCAAGGUCUGUGUGAAAAUGUGUGAGCCCUCUAAAGGAGCAGCAGGACAGAAGACGAUAGCUGUAUUGCUCCCUUGCCUCCUAGACAAAGGAAUAGUAAGCACAGUUGCUGAAGUCCGAUCUCUCAGCAUUAACACUCUUGUGAAGAUCAGUAAAAGUGCUGGGUCUAUGCUGAAACCUCAUGCUCCAAAACUUAUCCCAGCCCUGCUGGAGUCACUGAGUGUGCUGGAGCCUCAAGUCCUCAAUUAUUUGAGUCUUUGUGCAACAGAACAGGAGAAA